AGCAGGUAGGGGUUAGACAGUACAGAGAAAGGUCGUUAAGGAGCAGGUAAGGGUUAGACAGUACAGAGACAGGUCAUUAAGGAGCAGGUAGGGAUUGGACAGUACAGAGACAGGUCAUUAAGGAUCAGGUAGGGGUUGGACAGUACAGAGACAGGUCAUUAAGGAGCAGGUAGGGGUUAGACAGUACAGAGACAGGUCAUUAAGGAGCAGGUAGGGGUUAGACAGUACAGAGACAGGUCGUUAAGGAGCAGGUGGGGGUUAGACAGUACAGAGACAGGUCGUUAAGGAGCAGGUAGGGGUUAGACAGUACAGAGACAGGUCGUUAAGGAGCAG
ensembl:lncRNA